rnacentral:snRNA from 1 species
AUACUUACCUGGCAGGGGAGAUACUGUGAUCCUGAAGGUGGUUUUCACAGGGUGAGGCUUAUCCAUUGUAUUCCAGAUGUGCUGACCCUUGCAAUUUCCCCAAAUGUGGGAAACAUGACUAAUAAUUUGUGGUAGUGAGGGACUAU